AUUGAACGCUGGCGGCAGGCUUAACACAUGCAAGUCGAGCGGGGUGAUGGUGCUUGCACUAUCACUUAGCGGCGGACGGGUGAGUAAUGCUUAGGAAUCUGCCUAUUAGUGUGGGACAACAUCUCGAAAGGGAUGCUAAUACCGCAUACGUCCUACGGGAGAAAGCAGGGGAUCACUUGUGACCUUGCGCUAAUAGAUGAGCCUAAGUCGGAUUAGCUAGUUGGUGGGGUAAAGGCCCACCAAGCCAACGAUCUGUAGCUGGUCUGAGAGGACGACCAGCCACACUGGAACUGAGACACGGUCCAGACUCCUACGGGAGGCAGCAGUGGGGAAUUUUGGACAAUGGGCGAAAGCCUGAUCCAGCCAUUCCGCGUGCAGGAUGAAGGCCCUCGGGUUGUAAACUGCUUUUGUACAGAACGAAAAGGUUUCUACUAAUACUAGGAGCUCAUGACGGUACUGUAAGAAUAAGCACCGGCUAACUACGUGCCAGCAGCCGCCGUAA
rnacentral:rRNA from 1 species